UGGUUCCUGCUGUUGGAGGUUUGGCGACAAAGUGACAGCUGGCCGGUUUGGCUCCUCCCCUCAGUCCCCGGCGCUCUGGCUCUCCCUGUUUUUCCUCUCCUAGGAACCACCUCCUCCUCACGGCAGCAGCGAGGGGUCCUGUGUUAUCUUAAAUUUGGGAUGCAUAUAUCAUCAGAUACACCUUUUUCAGUGGACAUACUUUUUUGAAGAAAAGUGAAAGAUUACCAUAUGAAAUUUUACAUAGAGUCAGGGUUCACACUAGGAGAAGGAGCCUAUUGAUGGUCAGCGUAGCACCAGAGUUUUUCAAGAAGAUGUGGACAUUAUUUCAAUGAGAAUUUUAAAAACAUCUUCAAUCUACACAUGUAAGUACAUUUUAAGAUAUGUAUGCAAUCAUGUAUACAUUUAAAAAUUACACAUCUGAUAUAUCCUCAUAAGACUUACAUUUUUUACUCCACUUUUUGUUUCAUACAAAACUGCCUUUGUUUUUGUGUUCUUUGUUUUUGACACACAUAAA